UACGAAGGGAGCUAGCGUUGUUCGGAAUCACUGGGCGUAAAGCGCACGUAGGCGGAUGUGUCAGUCAGGGGUGAAAUCCCGGAGCUCAACUUCGGAACUGCCUCUGAUACAGCACGUCUUGAGUCCGAUAGAGGUGGGUGGAAUUCCUAGUGUAGAGGUGAAAUUCGUAGAUAUUAGGAAGAACACCGGUGGCGAAGGCGGCCCACUGGAUCGGUACUGACGCUGAGGUGCGAAAGCGUGGGGGAGCAAAACAGG
rnacentral:rRNA from 1 species